CGCGUAUGAAACCUACCUAAUACAGGGGGAUAGCCCAGAGAAAUUUGGAUUAAUACCCCAUGGUACUGUGAAUCUGCAUGGAUUUAUAGUUAAAGAUUUAUCGGUAUUAGAUGGUCAUGCGUUCUAUUAGUUAGUUGGUAAGGUAACGGCUUACCAAGACCGCGAUAGAUAGGGGGCCCUGAGAGGGGGAUCCCCCACACUGGUACUGAGACACGGACCAGACUCCUACGGGAGGCAGCAGUGAGGAAUAUUGGACAAUGGAGGAGACUCUGAUCCAGCCAUGCCGCGUGUAGGAAGACU
rnacentral:rRNA from 1 species